rnacentral:rRNA from 1 species
AUUGAACGCUGGCGGCAGGCCUAACACAUGCAAGUCGAACGAGUGGCGGACGGGUGAAUAAUGUCUGGGAAACUGCCUGAUGGAGGGGGCUAACUACUGGAACCGGUAGCUACUCCCGCUUACCAUCGGCUGUGCUCAGAUGGGAUUAGCUAGUCGGUGUGGUAAAGGCUCACCUAGGCGACGAUCCCUAGCUGGUCUGAGAGGAUGACCAGCCACACUGGAACUGAGACACGGUCCAGACUCCUACGGGAGGCAGCAGUGGGGAAUAUUGGACAAUGGGCGCAAGCCUGAUGCAGCCAUGCCGCGUGUAUGAAGAAGGCCUUCGGGUUGUAAAGUACUGUCAUCGGGGAGGCGUUACCCGCAGAAGAAGCACCGGCUAACUCCGUGCCAGCAGCCGCGGUAAUUC